GAAAAAUCUUAGAUAAGGAAGAGUAAAAAAUAAUUAUUUUUUAGAGAUAAGUUGGUUGGUGAAAAACUUAAUUAGUUAUUUUUAAAGGUAGCCUUUGAGAUGCUUAGGUGAGAAAGUUUCAUUAGCUUAAGCCGUUUACUUUGCGUUAAAAGAAUGAGAGAAUAAAAGUAUUUUUAUUAACAAAGGUGGUACCGCGGAAUAACGUUUCGUCCUUUAU
rnacentral:ncRNA from 1 species